rnacentral:lncRNA from 1 species
GGAAGAUAUAGAUAGGCUGCCAUGGUCAUUGCAGUAGCCACUGCUUUCCUCUCUGACCCCCUUGGGAGUCGGGAGUUGCCUUCUUUGUGCUUGAAGUACUUUUUCUAGCCAGAAGAUGCUGGCUAGUCAUGGCCUGCCAUGACUUUGAAGGCUAACUUUUUUCCUGUUCCACAGUGGUCGAGGAAAGUCCUCGCUUUCACUGCCUACCUCAGGAGAUUUGCCACCUUGCUGCCAAAAGAGAUAUUCAUUCCAAGACUCUCACCCUUUUAGGCUGAGGGUCUAGCUGAGCCAAGCUUACAAAUCCAAGUUUUCCAGUUUAUAAGCUAUAGGCUUGCUCUUCAGUGAACAACACUGGUGUCAGACUAAGGCAGUAUGGCCCUGUGAGGUGGAGAGUGGGCAUAACUGAUUUUGUCAACAAAGUGCAGAGACCCAGGACCUGGGAGCCCCUUAGGAGUCUCCUGCUGGCUCCAUACCAAGUUCCCUUGGGAUGAUCAGCAGCCUCCACAGCCAACACAGACUCCUUUUUCUUCUUGGGAAAAAAAGAUACCUCUGUAGAUAUCUUCAGAGGUCCAUUCUGGCUCUGACAUUCAAUAAUCCUGAACUAAGGCUGCGUGUGACAGUGGACAUCUGUAGUGCUAACUGCCAAGAGCAGGAGUUUAAACAUGGCCUCUGUCGCAAACAGGAGGUCAGACAUGGUGUGGCACAUUUUCAAUCUCAAUACUCAUGAAACAGAGGCAGGUGGAUCUCUGAGUUCAAGACCAGCUUGGUCUACAGAGCAAGUUUCAGGACAGCCAGGGCUACACAGAGAAACCCUGCCUCAAAGAAAAAUAAAUUACAUGAAGAUCUUCAGUUAGUAGGUUGGUAGAUUGAACAAACUGAUUUUUUUUUUUGUCUGUUUGUGUUUGUU